rnacentral:rRNA from 1 species
AAUAAGAAAUACAUUACAUAUAAGACGUGACAAGGUAACCUUUAUUGUUUGAAUCCUGGCUCAGAUUGAACGCUGGCGGCAGGCUUAACACAUGCAAGUCGAGCGGGGAAGGUUGCUUCGGUAACUGACCUAGCGGCGGACGGGUGAGUAAUGCUUAGGAAUCUGCCAUUUAGUGGGGGACAACAUUCCGAAAGGAAUGCUAAUACCGCAUACGUCCUACGGGAGAAAGCAGGGGAUCUUCGGACCUUGCGCUAAAUGAUGAGCCUAAGUCGGAUUAGCUAGUUGGUGGGGUAAAGGCCUACCAAGGCGACGAUCUGUAGCGGGUCUGAGAGGAUGAUCCGCCACACUGGGACUGAGACACGGCCCAGACUCCUACGGGAGGCAGCAGUGGGGAAUAUUGGACAAUGGGCGGAAGCCUGAUCCAGCCAUGCCGCGUGUGUGAAGAAGGCCUUUUGGUUGUAAAGCACUUUAAGCGAGGAGGAGGCUCUCUUAGUUAAUACCUAAGAUGAGUGGACGUUACUCGCAGAAUAAGCACCGGCUAACUCUGUGCCAGCAGCCGCGGUAAUACAGAGGGUGCGAGCGUUAAUCGGAUUUACUGGGCGUAAAGCGUGCGUAGGCGGCUUUUUAAGUCGGAUGUGAAAUCCCCGAGCUUAACUUGGGAAUUGCAUUCGAUACUGGGAAGCUAGAGUAUGGGAGAGGAUGGUAGAAUUCCAGGUGUAGCGGUGAAAUGCGUAGAGAUCUGGAGGAAUACCGAUGGCGAAGGCAGCCAUCUGGCCUAAUACUGACGCUGAGGUACGAAAGCAUGGGGAGCAAACAGGAUUAGAUACCCUGGUAGUCCAUGCCGUAAACGAUGUCUACUAGCCGUUGGGGCCUUUGAGGCUUUAGUGGCGCAGCUAACGCGAUAAGAGACCGCCUAGGAAGAACGGACC